rnacentral:rRNA from 1 species
UACGAAGGGAGCUAGCGUUGUUCGGAAUUACUGGGCGUAAAGCGCGCGUAGGCGGUGAUCUAUGUCAGAGGUGAAAUCCCGGGGCUCAACUCCGGAAUUGCCUUUGAAACGGGAUCGCUAGAGUCCGAGAGAGGAUGGCGGAAUUCCUAGUGUAGAGGUGAAAUUCGUAGAUAUUAGGAAGAACACCGGUGGCGAAGGCGGCCAUCUGGCUCGGUACUGACGCUCAGGCGCGAAAGCGUGGGGAGCAAACAGG